rnacentral:misc_RNA from 1 species
ACUGCGCGAUGCACUGCUACCGCUUCGGAAACAUCGGCAAGCCGGUCGCGCCCGGCGCGGAUAAUGCGGCGUGGUUCGACUAUCUCGGCCUGCAAUCCACCGGCCACGGUCCGCAGGAGCCGAUCGAGAUUUCAUUCGUGAAAGACGAAGCUGUGAACAAGGGCCUCGAGAAUUGGACGACCGGCAAGGAGGAACUUUACAACAAUAUCCAGAUAACGACCGGCAAGCCGCUGGCCCGCGGCAAGCAGAUCGUGAAGAACAAGAAGAAGCAACCGGACGGCACCGAGACGGUCGAGGAGAAAGCCGUCGAAACCGUGGUCAACUGGACUAACCUCUACCAGGGCAAGACGCGCGUCUGGAGCACGACGAUCGGCCACAAUAAUUUCACUGUGGAGGAUUCGCGCUAUCUCGACAUGGUUGCGCGCGGAGUGUUGUGGGCCGCGGGCAAACUGAAGGACGACGGCACGCCGGCGGCGGGAUACGGGCCCGGCGGGAAAUGACGAGCUGAACGCCGACGCACACUUAGGCCGCUAUGGCCCGCCAGAAGCAGAGUUAGCGCAGCCCGUUAGAAUAUCCCCGAACUCGGCGGCGUCGGCGCCACGGGAACGCCCUUGGCUUUCGCGGUGAGCGCAAUCUGAAAGUCCUGGAGCAUCUGCACGAUUCCCGGGCCUCGCUCGAGCACAGUCUUCGCCAGUUUCUCGUAGUGUGCCGGAUUGCGCUGCGAGAGCUCGGAGAGCGCGAGGAUCACAGCGAGGCUGUUAUUGAUGUCGUGCUUUACGAUGCGGUAUUUCUCGAGCACCUCCUCGAGUUCGGCGCGGGUGAUUUCGGGUGGGGCGUCUGUCAUACAAUUACCUCUUGGAGACCAGUUGCAGGAUGUGCUUUCCUUGGCGGUUUGAACCCUUGCGGGAAAUGGCAGCCUCAGCAAUCAAAAUCACCGGCGCGCGCCAGCACAAUCUCCGAAACCUGACGUUGGAGAUUCCUCGCGAGAAGUUGGUCGUAAUCACUGGAUUGAGUGGGUCUGGUAAAUCGUCCCUGGCCUUUGAUACGCUCUACGCGGAGGGCCAGCGGCGCUAUGUGGAAAGUCUGUCCGCCUAUGCAAGGCAAUUUCUGGACCAGAUGCAGAAACCGGACGUGGAUUUUAUUGAAGGGCUCUCGCCGGCUAUCGCGAUCGAGCAGCGCAGCUCGGGCGGCAGCCCGCGCUCGACUAUCGCGACGACGACGGAGAUUUACGACUACCUGCGGCUGCUCUUUUCCUCUGUGGGACAACCUCACGACCCGCAGACGGGCGCGGCGAUCAGCAAGCUCUCGCCGCAGCAAAUCGUCGAUCGCAUUGUGGCGUAUCCGCCCGAGAGCCGCAUCGUGAUUCUUGCGCCGCUGGUGCAGAAGGAAGUCGGCGAGUUUCGCGACGUAAUUGAGAAACUGAAGCGCGAAGGCUUCGUCCGCGUGCGUAUCGAUGGCGAGAUCAUCGAACUCGGCCGGCCUGAGCCGAUCCGCCUGACGAAGGACGCGAAGCACGACAUCGAGGUCGUGAUCGAUCGGCUCGUCAUCCGCGACGGCGUGCGCACCCGGCUGGCCGAUUCCGUGGACACCGCGCUGAAAUGGGGUGGCAAUAGGCUGGUGGUUCUGCGUUCUGACUCUUCGUCUGUUUCUUCAUCUUCAUCCUCUCCCGCUAAAGACGAAACGAAGAUGAAGACGCAGACGAAGAGUGAUCCCGCGUGGGAGACGCUGCGCUACUCGACCGAUUACAGCAACCCCGACACCGGCUUUACCCUCCCGCAGCUCACGCCGAAACACUUUUCCUUCAACAGCCAUCUUGGCGCCUGCCCGGCCUGUCACGGGCUGGGCACCGAGCUCGUUUGCGACGCGGACCUGAUGAUUCCCGACAAAGACAAAUCGCUCGCCGAGGGCGCAGUCGCGCCGUGGGCCAAGGCGAACAAGCGGAUGCAGAGCUACUACAAGGGCGUGCUCACCUCGCUGGCGAAGGAGUUCAAAGUCUCGCUCGAUACGCCGUAUCGCGACCUGCCUG